UGCUCUCUCUCUUGAAUCUUGUUGUCUUCCCCUCUUCCGUCGACCACUGAUGCAGCCUUCUCUUGCCGCUGCUGCCUCAUACGCUUCCGUCGCCUUUCCCCUUCUCUCACUACUGCUGCCUCACAUCCUCAAACGCAUCUGUGGACCGUGGUCCCUCUCGGGUCUCGGCGCUCGCUCUUGCUGCAGCUCCUGCUCUCCCCUUCACGCCAGAAAUCACUGUUGCUGCCUUCUCUCGCCGUUGCUGCCUCAGACGCAUCGUCGCCUUUCCCCUUCUCAUGCUGCUGCUGCCUCAAAGCCUCAUAUGUGUGAUGCGUCCCUCUCGCUCUUGCUGGACUCCUGCUCCCGCCUUCACGGCAGAAAUCACUGCUGCUGCCUCACAGCUUCAGAUGCGUGACGCGUCCCUCGCGCUCUUGCUGGACUUCUGAUCCCGACUUCAGGCCAGCUGCUGCCUCACAGCCUCAGAUGUAUGACGUGUCCCUCUCGCUCUUGCUGGACUCCUGCUCCCGCAUUAACGCCAGAAAUCACUGCUGCUGCCUUCUCUUGCCACUGUUGCCUCAGACGCCAUCAACGCUUGCAUUUCAUAUCCAGGUACUGCUGAAGAUGAGAUAGCAGGACAUGAUUCAACAUCAUCUCAAACAUAUUAUGCAGUAACAACUAACAAAAUAUCAGAUAUUGUAGCUUCAUCGUUGUUUAUAAUAUUCCAUUUGGUUUUUUGCAUUGUUCACACUAAUACAUUCUAUGAAAAGCUUUCAUAAUGGGUAGCAAUGCAAUUUUUUUCAGUUGUGUUGGGUUUAACAAUUCAGAAUUUUUUUUGUCAGACAUGUGGAGAGAAAUAAUUGGGCAACCUAACAUUGAUGGCUUUGUAAGAAGAGUAGAAGACCUGAUGGUGUAUUUGUGUAUCAGACAAAGUAAGGCAAGAGUUACUUAGAUAGAUAGCAUUUCCUAUAGAUUUCAAAGAGAAAUGCAACUCAUGGAGUGCCUUGAUCGUGUAUUCGUGUUCGCUGUAAACAUUGCACGGAACUGAAAAGUAUCACAUGCCUUUCUGGUAUCCUUUCAGACUUGGAGUGAUGCUUCUUGGGCAUCUUAGUAUUGGUAUAUGGGCAUUUCAUGUUGAGGAACGAUGCUAUCCAGAUUCCAGACAUUAGCCCCUGCAUCUUCCUUAGGCAUUAUUCGAGUCUUCUGCUUGCAUACCAUCACAAUUCAAAGGAUACUUAAAUAUCUAUUUUCCCUUUUUGAUGUUUGUUGUUCUGCAUUUUUGUUCGAUUGAGGUCCACCUAUUAGGACCAAUGGAAUAUUGUGACCUUGUAUGUUUCUGAUGCAGUUUCUGUCCAUUAGUGAAUGUAAAACAGGUUCUGGAAGUGUAUGAACUUCUAAUACUGAUACGUUUUAGUAAGGCAUGAUUAA